CUUACAGGUUUGUUCGUUUUGUGAGCACUCCAGAGGUCUUGGAACGCGUGUAUGCCUUGGAAUCUGAGAUCUUGCAGAUUGAAGAGGCAAUUGCGAUUCAAAGUAACAAUGAAAUAGGGUUGGCCAUGGUCAAAGAUCAUCAAACAAAAUCUGUGGAACACAUUGAAGGUAGCAGGCCUCUGCUGGAUUCUAAUGAGGAGAAAGCCAUUGUCCUUUACAAGGUGGGUGCACACCUAAUAAUUCUCAUACAAUGGCUUUUGACAGUGAGAGAAUUGUUAAAACACCUUGAGUGAGAGCAUAUACCAAGGCCAGUGUCAAAUCUCCAACGAUUGCAUCUUAAUUUUUAAAUUCAAACUCAAUCAUAAUUAAUCCAACCACAAUGCCUAUGACAUUUUCCUAACGGUUUUCUAAUGGGUACAAAUUUGUAUCCAUUAAAAUUUAUUUGAUGCACUAACAUGGUAAAUUUUAA